AGUGUGUCCAGUUCAUCAUCCUGACUGUCAGGGGCCUGAUGGCUGCAGCUUAGAGAAAGUUCUUGACCACAGAUGCCUCAAGCUGCCCUGAGUCAGGGGCAAAGCUGAGUGCUUGCAACAGAAAUCACCUGGCUUCCUAGGCCUGGGUGAGCAACAAAGAGAAGAGUCCCUAAGCCCCAUGUUAGAAGGUUACAACCCCACAGGUGAGUUGCCUUUGAGGGGGCAGCCCAGCACCCUGCGCCCCACCUACCUCUUC